UACGUAGGGGGCAAGCGUUGUCCGGAUUUAUUGGGCGUAAAGAGCGUGUAGGCGGCUUGGCAAGUCCGCUGUGAAAACUCGAGGCUUAACCUCGAGACGUCGGUGGAAACUGCUUGGCUAGAGUCCGGAAGAGGAGAGUGGAAUUCCUGGUGUAGCGGUGAAAUGCGCAGAUAUCAGGAAGAACACCCGUGGCUAAGGCGGCUCUCUAGGACGGUACUGACGCUGAGACGCGAAAGCGUGGGGAGCGAACAGG
rnacentral:rRNA from 1 species